ACGAUGUUUAGGGGGCCUGAGAGGGUGGUCCCCCACACUGGUACUGAGACACGGACCAGACUCCUACGGGAGGCAGCAGUGAGGAAUAUUGCGCAAUGGAGGCAACUCUGACGCAGCCAUGCCGCGUGCAGGAUGACGGCCCUACGGGUUGUAAACUGCUUUUAUACAGGAAGAACUUUCCGCACGUGUGCGGGAUUGACGGUACUGUACGAAUAAGCACCGGCUAACUCCGUGCCAGCAGCCGCGGUAAUACGGAGGGUGCAAGCGUUAUCCGGAUUUAUUGGGUUUAAAGGGUGCGUAGGCGGAUAAUAAGUCAGUGGUGAAAUACUGCAGCUCAACUGUAGAACUGCCAUUGAUACUGUUAUUCUUGAGUUCGAUUGAGGUAGGCGGAAUGUGUAAUGUAGCGGUGAAAUGCUUAGAUAUUACACAGAACACCGAUUGCGUAGGCAGCUUACUAAGUCGACACUGACGCUGAGGCACGAAAGCGUGGGGAGCGAACAGGAUUAGAUACCCUGGUAGUCCACGCUGUAAACUAUGAUCACUAGCUGUUGGCGAUACAUCGAUCAGCGGCAAAGCGAAAGCAUUAAGUGAUCCACCUGGGGAGUACGGUCGCAAGAUUGAAACUCAAAGGAAUUGACGGGGGCCCGCACAAGCGGUGGAACAUGUGGUUUAAUUCGAUGAUACGCGAGGAACCUUACCUGGGCUUAAAUGCAGAUUGACGUUUCGGGAAACCGGAAUUCUCUUCGGAGCGAUUUGCAGUGCUGCAUGGUUGUCGUCAGCUCGUGCCGUGAGGUGUCGGGUUAAGUCCCAUAACGAGCGCAACCCCUAUCGUUAGUUGCCAGCGGAUAAUGCCGGGGACUCUAACGAAACUGCCGGUGUAAACCGAGAGGAAGGUGGGGAUGACGUCAAAUCAGCACGGCCCUUAUGUCCAGGGCUACACACGUGUUACAAUGGUCGGUACAGAGGGCAGCUACCUGGUGACAGGAUGCUAAUCUCGAAAGCCGGUCUUAGUUCGGAUCGAAGUCUGCAACUCGACUUCGUGAAGCUGGAAUCGCUAGUAAUCGCGUAUCAGCAACGACGCGGUGAAUACGUUCCCGGGCCUUGUACACACCGCCCGUCAAGCCAUGGAAGCUGGGGGUACCUGAAGUCUGUAACCGCAAGGAGCGGCCUAGGGUAAAACUAGUGACUGGGGCUAAGUCGGAACAAGGUA
rnacentral:rRNA from 1 species